CUACGGGGGGCUGCAGUGAGGAAUAUUGCACAAUGGGGGGAACCCUGAUGCAGCAACGCCGCGUGGAGGAUGACGCAUUUCGGUGUGUAAACUCCUCUUAUAUGUCAAGAAAAUGACGGUAGCAUAUGAAUAAGCACCGGCUAACUCCGUGCCAGCAGCCGCGGUAAUACGGAGGGUGCAAGCGUUACUCGGAAUCACUGGGCGUAAAGGACGCGUAGGCGGGUGGGAAAGUCAGGUGUGAAAUCCUACAGCUUAACUGUAGAACUGCACUUGAAACUUCUAAUCUAGAGUAUGGGAGGGGGAGAUGGAAUUAGUAGUGUAGGGGUAAAAUCCGUAGAUAUCACUAGGAAUACCUAAAGCGAAGGCGAUCUCCUGGAACAUUACUGACGCUAAGGCGUGAAAGCGUGGGGAGCAAACAGGAUUAGAUACCCUUGUAGUC
rnacentral:rRNA from 1 species